AACGAACGCUGGCGGCAGGCCUAACACAUGCAAGUCGAGCGCGCCUUCGGGUGAGCGGCGGACGGGUUAGUAACGCGUGGGAACGUGCCCAGAUCUGCGGAAUAGCCUCUGGAAACGGAGAGUAAUACCGUAUGAGCCCUUCGGGGGAAAGAUUUAUCGCCAAAGGAUUAGCCCGCGUUAGAUUAGGUAGUUGGUGGGGUAAUGGCCUACCAAGCCUACGAUCUAUAGCUGGUUUUAGAGGAUGAUCAGCAACACUGGGACUGAGACAC
rnacentral:rRNA from 1 species